CUAAGAUUAAAGCGUGACACAUAAGAAUGGAUAAAAAGAAGAUCCUCAAGAGGAAGCAGCAUCAGCUGCAAGUGGAGGCGGAGCUCCACCGCCUCCCUAACCAGCAACCAAAAUCAAAAUCAGUUCGUGUUUCUUCUAAAUCAGCCACCACCGCCACCACCACCGCCACGAAUCCAUACUCUUCUCACAGUGGCCCCACUCCACAAGAAUGCCUCUCCCUACGAGACACCCUCUUAGCCCUCCACGGUUUCCCUCCCGAAUUCGCCAAGUACCGCAAGCGACAACACGUUGACGACAACCACCACCACGCCGCCACCAUCCCGCCGGAAACCGUGCUCGACGGUUUGGUCCGAACAGUGCUCUCUCAGAACACCACCGAGUCCAAUUCCCAAAAGGCGUUCGAUUCCCUCAAAUCAUCCUUCCCCACCUGGGAACAUGUGCUUGGUGCGGAUUCGAAGGAGUUGGAGAAUGCGAUUCGAUGCGGGGGUUUGGCACCCACGAAGGCUUCGUGUAUUAAGAACAUGUUGCGUUGCUUGCUGGAGAAGAGAGGCAAGUUGUGCUUGGAGUAUUUGCGAGACUUGUCCAUUGAUGAAGUUAAGGCUGAGCUCUCUCUUUUCAAGGGAAUUGGUCCCAAAACUGUGGCUUGUGUGUUGAUGUUCAAUCUUCAGCUAGAUGAUUUUCCCGUUGACACUCACAUUUUUGAGAUAGCAAAAACAAUUGGUUGGGUGCCAGCUGCUGCUGACAGAAACAAGACAUAUCUUCAUCUAAACGAAAGGAUCCCAAAUGAACUUAAAUUUGACCUGAAUUGUCUCAUGUAUACACAUGGGAAGCUUUGCCGUAAAUGCACAAGUAAAAAGGGUAACAAGCAAAGAGAGAAAUGUGACGAUAAUAACUCCUGUCCUUUAUUGAAUUAUUGUAAAGAACCAGUUUGAACUUUGAUGCUCAGAACUUGUAUUGUAUAGAGCUAACUAGUGGUAAUAACGUAGGCUGGAGACUAUUUUGAAGUGUUAGUUGAAUUGAAAGAGAAGCUCACAAUUAUGUGAUUGAUACGGUGAUGACGUGCCAAGCCGGGAACGACGGAGACAUCAACAAGCUGAACGAGAUGUCGCAUUACGUUGGGGCGGCCGACUUUGAGAGGUCUUGCCUUCUACUGCCCCACGCGAGUGAGCCAUACCCUUCCUCCACCCGACGCCAUCGUCCCGUAUUUGCCUGAGGCCAGAUUUGGCGACACGGUGCCACUCAGGGACUUCACUUUUGACAAUUUCCUGAUUUCGGCACUCGUGAAGUUACAGCAUUCGGAGACGCACACGUUUCAUCUCCCGUGGGGUUAGGUCACUAUCACCCUACAGGACGUGGCGUACCACCUAGGCCUACGCGCACACGGUAACCGCGUUGGGGGGUGCCUUCGUGACUUCAAUAGGUCGUACGGCACGGAGACGUGGGCUAUGGUGGAGCAGCUGCUUGGUGCCAAGCUAGCAGACUGUGCAGAGGAAGGAGUCCUUCACGCUUAAGCUCGUGUAGCUGCGGGAUCAUGUCUGCCAGAUGCCCCGAACAGAAGACCCGAAGACCCUCCGACAGUACGCUAGGUGCUAUAUUAUGUUACUUAUCGGAGGGUAUUUGAUGACAGACAAGUCCAACAACCUGGUGCACAUACGUUGGCUACCGCUUUUCCGGGACUUUGGGGAGUGUAGGGCACUUUCCUGGGGAUCGGCUGUGCUGGCCUAGACGUACCAGUCACUUUGUUCGGCGGCACAACGAGGCGUCACGGACAUCGCCGGUUGCACUCCGUUGUUGAUGAGUUAGAUCUAUCAGAGAUUUUCUCAGUGGUGUCCACCAAAUAGAGGAAUCUACCAGUAUCCGCUGGCUGCAAGGUUGGUUGGAUUGCAGCAGUAGAGUACGGAUCAGCAUCAGGCCAGGGUCCUGCAUUGGAGAGUUUCGAUCGAUCGGUUAUGGUUCGACGAGUUUGCAUGGAGAGUCUACGAUGACCCUGCGAUGCAGGCUUUGUGCCCGCCAUGGUUCCGUGACGAGGAGGAGUGGGGGACGUGGUUGUCAGCUGUCUCCCUAGUGUGCUCAAUAUUGUACGGUUUCACCACGUUGAUCGGGGAAAUGGAAGUUCAAUGGGGAGCAGCAAGUGCAAGGCACUCCGGUGAAUCUUGACAGUGCCGGAAUUGGGUGAGGUGGAGGUAGGACAUGGCGCGCCACAGUCUGGAUAAGUGUCUUCGGAACACAUUCAUCCUCAUUCCCACCAUCGGACGAGUCGCUGUCUGCAUUGUCCGCCACGUAAUCAUCGUCCGACUCCUCCUCGUCCUCCU